GACAGGGGAUGCAAGCGUUACUCGGAAUUACUGGCGUAAAGCGCACGUAGGCGGAUUGUUAAGUCGGGGUGAAAUCCUGGAGCUCAACUCCAGAACUGCCUUCGAUACUGGCGAUCUCGAGUCGGGAGAGGUGAGUGGAACUGCGAGUGUAGAGGUGAAAUUCGUAGAUAUUCGCAAGAACACCAGUCGGCGAAGGCGGCUCACUGGCCCGGUACUGACGC
rnacentral:rRNA from 1 species